rnacentral:rRNA from 1 species
UACGUAGGUGGCUAGCGUUGUCCGGAUUUACUGGGCGUAAAGAGCGCGCAGGCGGUCGUUCAAGUCGAGUGUGAAAGCCCCCGGCUCAACUGGGGAGGGUCACUCGAUACUGAUCGACUCGAAGGCAGGAGAGGGAAGCGGAAUUCCCGGUGUAGUGGUGAAAUGCGCAGAUAUCGGGAAGAACACCCGUGGCGAAGGCGGUUCUCUGGGACGGUACUGACGCUGAGACGCGAAAGCGUGGGGAGCGAACAGG